GGAGGAGGCGGGGUCAAUGAAAGGAGGAGGCGGGUUUGAAUCUCAAGCCUGAAUGUUCCAAACAGAAAAUGUGGUCAGGAUUACAGCUGGACCAGGACCCUAAAGAUCCAGGUCUUGGACCUGGACCUCUUUACCGCCAAAGAACAAUUUAAUAAAGUCAAACUGUCGCUGUUUGUGAAAACGGAACGACUGUUUCCUGGCGUUUGUAUGUUUGCCGUCAGCUAAACAACUUUUGAACUCCAAACACACAAACCUGUCGGUAAAAACUCCUGAAAACAAAAUGAAGUUUCUGUUAAAAACUCUUCGUCUUCGUUCACACGGCGGGUUCUGAAGCAAAGUUCAGAUUUUUAGUUAACUCCGAUCUUUUUGUGCGGUCGUUCACGUUACAACAACGAAUACGUGUGUGAAGUGACCCUCAUGAACACAAAACACAAAUAUCUCUCCGCUCCUGUUUGUGUCGAACAACGGUGACGUUUGUCUCAUAUUGAUGACGUAAAGGUCGGAUGAACUCGACCUGAGCGUCACACUGCAGUCACAUCAGAACUCUUGUGAUCAGCUGAGGAGUCCGGCGAUCCGCAGAGGAACGGAAAGAAGUCGGUGUAAAUUGACACGUUAACGUGAAUGUUUACGAUCAUCUACGAUCGGAGGAUACGACCUUUUAGGAGACGAUCAGGAUGAAGGUGGAGGUCGGGGGUAAACCUUGAGAUGUUGUUUAAAACUGAGGCUGCAGCAUCUAUGAUUUCCUUUUCUUCGUUGGAUGGAUCUCAAAUGGACUAAUUGGACUUUUCUACCUAGCGUCCAAAAAAGUGUUAGAUUUAGAUUCUGAUCCGCAGAAGAACGGAAAGAAGUCGGUGUAAAUCGACACGUUAACGUGUAUUUUUACGAUCAUCUACGAUCGGAGGAUACGACCUUUUCGUAGAACCCUGAUCACUAUUCUUUGUCAGUCUGUGGUUACAGCAGCAGAUCGACCGAGACCAGACAAACAGUCGACCCUGAAAUAUGAGACUCUUUCUCAGGUGGAUGAAACGUGAUCAUGUGACCAGAAACAGACGUCUUCAAAACUUUCGACGCCACCUGAGAGGCCUGAACGCACGCACAGACGCCGCCAUUUUACCUUACCUUCUCCAAAACACAUGCAUGAACUCGCUCACUCCCUCUCAUGCACACAUUAUAUGCUCGCACGUCCGCACAGACACGCACACCCAACCCCCACCCGAUCCUCCGCUUGCCUCACACACACACACAAACACACACACACACACACACACCCUUUCUUUCCCCCUCACACACACACACACAGACCAAAACACACAUACCUCCCCCACACACACUCAUGCGUGCGCACACACACGCGCACACACACACACACACACACCCUGUUCCCCUCCCCCUCCCAUUCCAUACCAGGGCACAUCGUGACAAAACAAAGAACACCCCAUAAUAGUCAGAGUCGCACAGUAUGCAUGGUAACCAGUUAUGUCAGAGAUGAAGGCAUUGUGUGUGUCUGUGUGUGUGUGUGUUUGAUAGUAUAUAUGAACACACACACACACACCGAGGAUACACAAAAUUACCCAAACAUUCCACAAACCCACAUAUACACACCUCACGCACACACACACACACACACACACACACACACACACACACACACCAGGAUAUACACAGACACAAAAUUACAGGCUAACCACCAACCAGAUACACACUCAAACACACACACACACACACACAUACAGAAGUCCAUAUACAUAAUGGGAAACAUGAAUAAGAACAGAGCGCACAAAACCACACACACACACACACACACACACACACACACUGGGGCGCAAACAAAGACCCGCAAUAUGACAAAAACACACAAAAUACACAAAAGACACAAAAGAAAACAGGAAGAAACAACAAAUGAAGACACGCAUCAGUGAAAUAAAAACACAAUAAACAGGUCAGCUGAUGUUGUGUAACUGACCUGUACAAACACACACACACACACACACACACAAAGAGAGAGAGAUAUGACAAACUAACACAAAGUGUGACAACAAAGAAACACACAAACAAGAACACACAACAGCCCAGGUAAACCUGCAGACACACACACACACACACACACACACACACGUUGAAUGGAUUUAAAGAGUGUGUCUAUGAGGAUACAAGACAGCAGUGUGUGAUCAAUCAAUGAUCAAUCAACGAAGUGUGUAGAAAUGAUCGAUGAAUGAAGAUUUUCAGUUCAACGUCAUCAAAACAAAAAGACCCAAAAUCUCCCUCAAACCCUCCAGACAAGGAGGAAAACAAUCAAUCAAUCAAUCAAUCAGUCAAUCCAACUAUGAAUAGAUCAGUCUGUCCCUCCGUCCGUCAUCUAUCUGUCCACGGACACAGUCCUCUCAGGUGGUCCAGGUGAGUCCAGAUUCAGGAAGUCGAUUUUUUCUGACAAACCUAAAGGGCGGAUCUGUAAAACUGCUUUAACACUAAUCAAUACAUAUCUGAUUGAUCCAAACCUGAUCAGUUUACUGGUUUGAAGACCUGAGGCGAUCAUGAUCCUCAGACACCGACAAACAAACAGACAGACAGACAGACAAACAAACAAUCAAACAAACAAAAAAUAAAACAAACAAACAAAGAAGCCACGCCCCCAACCAAAACGCCGCUCUAUAGCCACAGAUCAUGCUCAGAACCAGUGCUUAAUUUAAGCCGGAGUGCGCUCUGGGACCUCUUCGAUCUGAUCCGGCGCCUGUUUGAUCCCUGUCAGUAAAUAAACUGUGUUUUUAUUUUUGUUCUUCUGUUUUUUUUCUCUCUGAAGUGACUUUUAUUUUUUAUGCCUUUUACUCAGAAAUGAGUUAAAACAGGGAAAAAGAGAUUUCUGUCGUCAUGUGUCACAGCGCAAUGUGCAUUGGGAUGGUUUUGUUUUCGCACCGACACCGCGCGCAGAUAGGUAAAUGUUAUACUAGGUAGGUUUGGAAAUUAAGCACUGCUCAGAACAGCACCUGACUUCAUCAACAGGACAUACAGGGUCACAGACACCAAACAUCUUUUUAACUUUGACUCAUUUCUUUAACAAAGAGACUAAACACAACUCACCUACUCUCUUCCAGCAGCAAGACCUCAGGUCAGUCCGUCAUACUGAUCAUUUUACAGACGCGGUAGUUCUUCUGUCUUAGCGUCUCGGUCUGAUUGUAUUUCCAUGAAGAAAUGAUCAUAAAUGUUCUUCCUUGAGCUGGUGAACCGUAUGGUGAGUAGCGUAUCGUAUGUAGCAUGUAGCUCACUGGCUCGCUAGCACCCCCUACAGAGCGCCAUGAAUGUCGGCUUUUUCCGAACUUCUGGAAAUUUUACAGGCACGUGUAUCUAAACGAGAUCUUUGAUUUUGCGCACUUGGUCUUUAUUCUCAGACACACAGUUAAAGAGUCAUCGGCCUAUUUUGGCCAUUUGCAUAUGUCACGCCAAACGCUACUUGAAAUGAUCAUAAAUGUUCUUCCUUGAGCUGCGGCACCCCGCUGUAGUCUGUAAUGGACUGGCCUGAGGUCUCUCUACAAACAAGCGUCUGCUGGAAGAGAGUAGGUGAGUUGUGUUUAGUCUCUUUACUAAAGAAAUGAGUCAAAGUUAAAAAGAUGUUUGGUGUCUAGUACUAUGACUGUGACCCUAUAUGUCCUGUUGAUGAAGUUAGGUGCUGUUCUGAGCAUUAUUUGUGGCUAUAGAGUGGCGUUUUGGUUGGGGGCGUGGCUCUCUGUAUUUCUAUCCUGCGGUCGUUACUAAAGUUGGUAUAACUAGAGAAGGAAGCGGUCGACAACAUUCGGUAACCUAAAUUAAUUUUAUGCCGGAAUAUCCCUUUAAGUGUUUCUACAUCGAUCCUUUAAAUCCGAGUCAAUGUCGGUUCGACUUGAAAUCGUCCAAUCAGCUCUCAGAAUGGUUCAUGUUUUGUUGAUUUUAGUUCCCAGUCUUGAACUUUCUCCUCACUGACGUAGAAACGCUCCUCCCCUUCCCCCCCCCAUCUCCUCUUCCUCCCCUUCCUCCUCCUCUUCCUCCUCCUGCUCCUCCCCUUCCUCCUCCUCCUCCUCCUCUUCCUCCUCCUGCUCCUCCUCUUCCUCCUCCUCUUCCUCCUCCUCCUCCUCCUCCUCCUCCUCUCAGCUGUAAACAAAUGUUGGAUUGUUGUUCCUUCUCCUGGUCUUCCUCUCCUCAUGUGUAUCUUUGUUUAGGCUCAAUGUGCGCGCGCUCGUGGCUGUGUGUGUGCGUGUGCACGUGAACACAUGUGUAUCAGUGCACGUGUGCGUCCUCUGAGCGACGAGGAAAAAAAAUAAAAGAGAGAGAGAGAGGUCAGGUUUCUAUCCCAUGAUGCAACUGCCCCCCCCCCCCCCCAACACACACACACACACACACACCUCCAGCCCCUCCCCUUCUUCGUUGCCCAUAGCAACAUACUUAUAAUGAGGUCAGAUGGACAUCCAAUAAUAUUCACCAGCCGAACGAGCCGUGGAGAGCGGGGCGUGUUGGGACAGACAGCAGUCAAAGUGUCAGAGGCUGAAUCAGCAACAAGACAAGAUGGCCGCCGCUGCUGAGAGGCCUGAAGUUCCACUAGAGGAGACUGGACCGGGUCUGGGACCGGUCCAGGAUCUCAGACACCCAACCUGUUUGUGAAGGAUCAAGUCCAGAACCUUCAACUCUGAGAGUUUAGUAGAGACAAAAACAUCAGACCGAUCCGAACCUGAGAGGAACACAGUCGAACCCGGAGAUCAGAGAGAACAUCUAUGUUUCAGAGCAGAUCUAGGUUAAAGAUCAAACAUGUUUCCAGAGUCUGUCUCCGGGUUCCUGCUCGAUCCUCAUAAAGAGCGUCGACUCGGCCCUGCAGGAGGGUCAGACCAGGGUUCGAGUACAGAGGUGGAGAAGUCUGAGGUUUAACUAGAUCUAGAUCUUCUAUGUCUAUCUCAGGUGAAGUUCUCUCUCUUUCCUUUGAGCUCCUUUAAGGCCUCGACCCUGAACACCUCAAAACACGGUAAUAGAAGAGUGAGGCAUGAUGGGAAAAACAGAGGAGCAGAGCGGUUUUCAGACAAAAGAUCCUCCACGCCACGUCGGUCUGAAGGAUCCAUUUUGAGCUGCCAAUCAAAGAGAACCCGGGUUAUCUACAUGCAUACUGUCUCCACUGAGACCUGUUCAAAACCAAUGGGACGACUCCCCCUAGUGUUCGCUGUCAGGUACUGCGUUAACCCUCCAGCGUCCACAUCUGUAGUCUGGAAACUGAGCAUGAUGAUAAAAGUUUGAUCUUCAUAUUUGUCGUUUCUUUCAUGUCAUGGCUCCUCGUUAUCUCUAAUAAACCUCGAUAAGACGAGCUAAAUGUCACCACAUCUAUUUUCAAGGACUCUAAAGUCUAAACGACAGUAAACCAGGAGUUCAUGAAGGUCAAGGCGGACACAUUUAUAAAAAAAACAUCUACAAACUUUUUUAGCUGUUUUCUCAGACGUCCUUCAUAACAAACUAAAAGUUUUCUAAAAGGUUCGACGUUCACACGGAAGGUUCUGAUGCACACUUCGGAUUUUUUUGUUCAAUCUGAUCGUUUUGUGCGGUCGUUCACAUCACAACAACAACAAGCACAAAUUGGUUUCCGAACACUGGUGACAUUUGUCUCAUAUCGAUGACGUAAAGGUCGGAUGAACUCGACCUGAGCGUCACACUGCAGUCACAUCAGAUACAUAUCUGAUUUAUAUCCACAUACAGAAGAGGGUCGGAUCAGAACCAAUCAGAACUGACCUGUUCACACUUAGAUGAAAACAUCAGAUAUGAGUCACAGAUGGUUAAAACAUCAGAAUGA
rnacentral:lncRNA from 1 species